AAAAAUAUGUGCCGGGCAGACCUCUGCUACCUCUUGAGAAACUAAGAAAGGUCCCGGCUGGUGUUAAAAGGUUGCAUGACUGGUACAUGCGGGCAUCAUCGGUUGGCAUCGACACCAUCAGUGUGCAUAUACCAGACCAUGCUUUUAUUGGUUCGAACCAAAAGGCCGUUGUUACAUUCGAGGACAUGUGGUUAAUGAUGAACCUUCAGAGACUCGACGUGCAACUUGUAACGAUGUUUGCAUUAAUGCAACAUGAUCAGCAGGAGAUUCUUUACGGUACCAAGCCCAAUGCUAGUGCCAGUAAAAGGGUUGGGUAUCUCAACCCAAUACUUAUAUCCGAGGAAAGCCACACUUUUAGAAUCGGGAAAGACAACGAUGAAAUAAGGGGAAAGACGGACGAAGAAGUUGAGAAGCGUAUAAAGGAAAUGAAGAAGGAUUUUGAAGCUCGAUACGCCACAUACAUAGGACAUGCAAUGCUUCAAUUUCAAGACAGGGAAGCCAUAAUGGCCCCGUACAACUUU
rnacentral:misc_RNA from 1 species